CUCUCAUUGAUUUCCUUGGCGCAUACAACGGCCACGUAUGUUACCUGCUCUAUCCAUAUAUAUAACGCUACAAAACUAUGGCGAUGAUUAUGCUAUAAAACUGAGAACAGGCCCACGACUUACGCACGUAACGUAAACAACAGCUUUGCAGGCGUGGCUAUGCCAUUGCUUUUUCUGUCUUUAAUAAUUGAUUUUUGUGUCAGUUUUGAUUUUUCGGUCUUUGAUUUUUGGUUUUUUGAUUUUUGAUUUUUCGGUCUUUGAUUUUUGGGUUUUUGAUUUUUCGGUUUUUGAUUUUUCGGUCUUUGAUGUUUCAGUCUUUGACUUUCGUUCUCAAUCUCGUUCCCCGAGCCUGCGAUCCUUGGGAAGGAACGUGACGCUCUGGGAUAAUCCGUUUCAGGGAGGAAUCUGAUUGACCGUUGAUAUGGAAUGCGCAGUUCGGUCUUAGCCAGGACUCCUGGCUUCCGGCAACGGAUUAUCCCAGAGACUCACGUUCCUUCCCGAGGAUCACAGGCUCGGGGAACGAGAUUGUUUAGGUCUUUUGAUUUUUGGGUUUUUGAUUUUUGGAUUUUCGAUUUUUGAGUUUUGGAAUUUUGGGUUCUUGAUGUUUCGGUUUUGAUUUUCCGGUCUGUAAUUUUUCGAUUUUUGAUUUUUCGGUCUUUGACUUUCCAGUCUUUCAUUUUUCAGUUUUUUAUUCUUCGGUCUUUGAUUUUUCGAUUUUUGAGUUUUUGAUUUUUCAGUCUUUGAUUUUUCAGACUUUGAUUUUUCGGUCUUUGAUUUUUCAGUCUUUGAUUUUUCAGUCUUUGACUUUUCGGUCUUUGAUUUUUCGGUUUUCGAUUUUUGAGCUUUUGAUUUUUGGUUUUUUGAUUUUUGGGUUUUUGAUUUUUGGGGUUUUGAUUUUUGGGUUUUUGAUUUUUGGGUUUUUGAUUUUUCAGUCUAUGAUUUUUCAGUCUUUGAUUUUUCGGUCUUUGAUUUUUCGGUCUUUGAUUUUUCAGUCUUUGACUUUUCGGUCUUUGAUUUUUCGGUUUUCGAUUUUUGAGCUUUUGAUUUUUGGUUUUUUGAUUUUUGGGUUUUUGAUUUUUGGGUUUUUGAUUUUCAGUCGUUGAUUCACAGGGGGUCCCACUAUGAGUUAUGAUUGAAAUAAUAUUGUAUUUAUUUUUAAAAACUUACUUGAAUCCCUUGAUAAUCGAUUAUUUCUUCUCUCGAAAUUCUGUAAACAUUUUAAACUGCUUGAAUCCAUUAUACUAUCACUCUACAUGAAGUAUAGAUGAUCGCUGACAGGUAAGAACGCGGGCGCGAAAAUACGAAGGCGGCAAAAGAAGGAAUAAUUAAACUAAAGGGUUGAAACUUCGGCGGGUCAUCGUUUGAUGUGUUCCAUAAGUAGGUUGUUCUCCGGAAAUUUCGCACGGGGCCCCAACGUGAGUUAGGAUUGAAAAAAUAUUGUGUUUAUUUUUAAAAACUUACUUGAAUCCCUUGAUCAUCCAUUAUUUCUUCUCUCGAAGUUCUGUAAACCUUUUAAAUGGCUCGGACUCAUUAUACUUGACGUCACGAGAACAACCUACUUAUGGAACACAUCGUGCGAAAAAACGCUUCGAGUGUUUCAUGUAAAAACAUACGAAAAAUCAAUCGUUUAUCGAAUCUACUACAUCAGUUGUGAAGAUAUAUCCAAAA